UUCGAACGAGACAGAAAUUCGUUUAAAAUGUGUCAACUUUAUAGUUGCUCUAAUUAAUGAGCUCAAACAGAGAUUGCCAGACAAUUUUGAAGUCCUGCAACAAAUCAAUUUAUUUUAUGUCGACAAAAUGUUUUGUGCCAAGAAGGCGGAAAUAGUCCAUAUCCUCGAACACUUCGAGCUUGAGUCUAGUAAUAUUGAAGAGAUUUUGUUUCAGUAUAAGAACGUCCAUCUGAUACAUUGGAAUAAUGUAAUGGAUACAAUAAGCUUUUGGGCCGAAGUUUCGAAAUAUACGGAUGCAGCAGGCAACAAAAGAUUUUCGGCACUGGCAUCAUUUGCGGUAAGCCUGUUAUCGUUGCCAUGGUCGAACGCAGAGGUGGAAAGAGUAUUCAGCCAAAUGAACAAUGUAAAAACUAAGCUUAGAAACAGAAUGGCUUAUCAAACAUUGAACUUAAUUUUACACAUAAGAUACGGACUUCGCCGAGAAAAAAAGUGCUGUCAGUGACAGCCUGUCACAAUUAUGAAGUGCCAGCAGCAUGCCUGAAAAAAAUUGGAACUACCUGGGCAUACACAAAUUUAGCUGGAGAAGAAGAUAUAAUUGAAGAACUUGA